rnacentral:lncRNA from 1 species
CAACUCCAUUGCUCUGGGCCUGAAUGAUUCUGUCGAGAUGUGAAAAAGAAGUAAGCAUGAUUCAUCUUCAUCCCAGGCACGCUGUUCCGUUUUCUUUUUCAUUUCCUGGCUCUAAUUCCAACCUCCUCCUCGGGCUGCAGGAGCAGGGCCGCGCAGCCACUCGGCCGAGGCCUCCAGGCGGGGACCCAGGCGCGGCCAGGGCGCAGGCCCCUCUGAGGCCGGUCUUCCUCUGUCAGGAGCUCCCGAGUCUAGGCAGAGUUGCUUCCUGGGGGUCGCAGGACUGAGACCUGCUGGCCUCUCCUCGGCCCGCAGCCGUGGACAGGGCCACGUCCUCCGCACGUCCCCCGCCGCUCCUGCACACCCCCUUGUUCAUUUAUUUAUACAUGGUGCUGAGAAUCAAACCCAGUGCCUCGCACAUGCUAGGCAAGUGCUGUACCACUGAACUACAGCCCCAGCCCGAGAAUUUUAAUAUUUAUUUUUUUUUUAGUUUUCGGCGGACAACAUCUUUGUUUGUAUGUGGUGCUGAGGAUUGAACCUGGGCCGCACGCAUGCCAGGCGAGGCUAGCGUGCUACCGCUUGAGCCACAUCCCCAGCCCUAUUUUUGUUUAUUUUUAUGUGGCACUGAGGAUCGAACCCAGGGCCUCACGCAUGCAAGGCAAGCGCUCCACCGCUGAACCACAACCCCUGGCCCCUUUUUAUAUUUUGAGACAGAGUUCAAGGCCAGGCUGGCCUUGAACUUCUGAUCCUCCCUACUUCAGCCUAUAUAGCUGUGAUACAGGUGCACCACCAUGCCUGGCUUCAAAUAGGUAUUUCUUCACUUGAAAGAUCUAAAACAACUGGUGAUUGUUCCCUCAGAUCUGCUUUUCUCCUAUUCCUCAUUUUAGUAAAGGGCAACUCCAUUCUUCCAGUGAUGCAAGCUAAAAACCUUGGAGGUAGUUUUGGCCCUUUCCUGUCACACUGUCAGCAGACCCUCCUGUCUAUACCUUUAGACUAUAUCUCCAAGUCAACUGUCUUCUCACUUUUACAACUAUACCAUACAAGCCACAUCACCUCUCUCUUGCAAAUAUCCUUUACCUGAUCUCCUUUCUCUACCCUUACCUCCCCCUGACCAGCCUCCACACUGCAGCCAGAGUGAGAUUUUCAGACCUAAAUUGGCUUACAUUACUUUGGGCUCCAAAGCCUCCAUGGUUUUCAUUCUCACUCAAGGAGAAAUCCAAAGUCUUUGCCAAGGUAUAUAAGGCUCCUUAUGACCUGGCUCUUGAUUCCCUCUCUUAUCUUUGUCUUAUUAUUCUCUCUUUUUCGCUUACCCAGCUUGAGCCACAUUGGUUGUCUUGCUAUUCCUCCCACAACCCAGCAUGCUCCUGCCUCAGGGCCUUUGCACUCUCCAGUUCCUCUGCCUGUUAUACUCUUUCCAGAUAGCCACAGGGCUUAAUCCUCGCUUCAAUAGAAAAGGUUUCUCUGGCCACCAAAUUUAAAAUAUCACAUUCCUGCCCUGUCCCUUUUUCCUGGUUUAUUUUUCUUCUUAGCAUUCAGUGCCUUGGACAUAUUAUAUCUGUUUAUAGUCUGCCUUCCCUAUUAGAAUGCAGGAUUGUCUCCAGCUCCCAGCAUAGAAGGGGGGCUGGGAAUAUAGCUCAGUUGGUAGAGUGCUUGCCUCGCAUGUACAAGGCCCUGGGUUCAAUCCCCAGCACCACACACACAAAAUAAUAAUAAUAAUAAUGAUAAUAAUAAUAAUAAUAAUAAUAAUAAUAAUAAUAAACAACUGUUGUUGUUUUAGAUUUAUAGAAAAACUGAGGAAAGUCCAGGAAUAGUGGUGCACAACUAUAAUUCCAGCUACCCGAAAGGCUGAGGCAGGAGAAUGACAAGUUUGAGGUCAAGUUAGUGAGACCUUGUCUCAAAAUAAAAAGGAUUCAGUGGUAAAGCAAUCCCUGGAUUCAAUCCCAGUAAGAAAAAAAAAAAAAAGAAAGUGACAGAUUUCCCAUAUUGCCCCUGUCCUUACACAUGCCCAGCUUCCCCUGUUAUCGACAUCUCCCACUGGAGUCAUGUAUUUGUUACAACUGAUGAACCUACACUGACACAUCAUUAUCAUCCAAAGUCUCUAGUUGACAUUAGGGUUCACUCUUGGCAUUGUACAUUCUAUGGGUAUCAUUAUAGUAAAAUACAGAAUAUUUUCACUGCUCUAAAAAUCAUCUAUGUUCUGCUGCCUAUUCAUUCCCCACUGUUAGCAGUCACUGUAGCCUCCCUUCCUGCCCCCAUGCUGGGUGUUGAAUCCAGGACCUUGUGUGUGCUAGGCAAGCACUCUAUUACUGAGCUGUAUCCCCAGCCCUGCAACCUUUUCAGAUUGGCUUCUUUCACUUAGUAAUAUGCACUUAAGUUUCUUCCAUGUGUUCUCAUGGUUUUUCAUUUCUUUUAGCAGCAAAUAAUAUUCUAUUGUUUCCAUGUACCAUGGUAUAUUUAGUCACUCACCUUACAAAGGACAUCUUGAUUGCUUCCAAGUUUUGGCAAUUAUGAAUAAAACUGCUAUAAACAUCCAUGUGUAUGUGGUUGGGUGGACAUAUGUUUUCAUCUCCUUUGUAUAAAUAACAAGGAGCAUGAUUUCUAGAUCAUAUGUCUAGGUUUUUAAGAAGCCACCAAACUGUCUUCUAAAAGAGGCUGUACCAGCAAUUGUGUAUUCGUACCAUCAGUGAAUAAAAGUUUUUUGUGUUCCACACUCUCACCAGCUUUUGGUGGUAUUGGUGUUAUCAGGUUUCAAGAUUUUGGCUAUACUAAUAGGUUUGUAGUAAUAUUUCAUUGUUUUAAUUUGCAUUUUUCUGAUGAAUAUGAUGUGGAGCAUUUUGUGGGGUGGGC